rnacentral:lncRNA from 1 species
UGACCUCACAAAUUUCAAUUUCAAUAGGAUGAAAAGGUUUUGAUUCUGAGAAGUGAAUAAAAACAUGACCCCAUUACUGAAAAUAAGGACUGAAAAUAACAACUUCCCUGUUUAAACCUGCUAAUGACAGUGACGUGAAUCUGGCAUUCUUUAACUUAGCAAAUGCCUUUUGCUAACUUUUGCUUUGCCUUUAGUGUACACAAGAAAGCUUUGGAGUAAACAUAUAUGGUUUCGAUGUAAAAGAAUGCAUCUGAUCCAAGUGACAGGUUACACUUCAUGGAAUGACAUGCAAAGGUCGCCGGCACUGCGGAGGGUGUCUUUGGCGCCAGUCUUCUGAGGAUGUUGAUGGCUGUUUUGCAAUAUGGUGAAGAUCGUCCGGAGCAGAGGAAGAUACAGGAUGAGAGUAGGCUAAGUACAGAAGUUGUCCAGGAGAGAGGUGUGCACGUGCAGAGAGCCCAUCAGGGAGGCCUGAGGAAAGUGGUCACGGGGUCUCUCGGCCCACUGCACACGGGGACACAGCUGAUUCUGGGAAACAGAAUGUACUCCAACCAGGCUCACCGUCAAAGCAAACUGAAGCCAAACUAUCCAAUCCCAAAAUCUAGCACAAUUAACUUCUCCAGUUUUCUCUUUAUUUUCCCUAUUAAAGUUCAAAAGGUCAUUCUGGAACACUUUUCCAG